rnacentral:rRNA from 1 species
GAGAUCUUCGGGCCUUACGUUAUAAGAGCGGCCGAUAUCUGAUUAGCUAGUUGGUGGGGUAAUGGCCUACCAAGGCGACGAUCAGUAGCUGGUCUGAGAGGACGACCAGCCACACUGGAACUGAGACACGGUCCAGACUCCUACGGGAGGCAGCAGUGGGGAAUUUUGGACAAUGGGCGAAAGCCUGAUCCAGCCAUUCCGCGUGAGUGAAGAAGGCCUUCGGGUUGUAAAGCUCUUUCGCAAGGGAAGAAAACUUACAUUCUAAUAAAGUGUGAGGCUGACGGUACCUUGAUAAGAAGCACCGGCUAACUACGUGCCAGCAGCCGCGGUAAUACGUAGGGUGCGAGCGUUAAUCGGAAUUACUGGGCGUAAAGCGUGCGCAGGCGGUUUGGCAAGUCAGAUGUGAAAUCCCCGAGCUCAACUUGGGAACUGCGUUUGAAACUGCCAGACUAGAAUAUGUCAGAGGGGGGUAGAAUUCCACGUGUAGCAGUGAAAUGCGUAGAGAUGUGGAGGAAUACCAAUGGCGAAGGCAGCCCCCUGGGAUAAUAUCGACGCUCAUGCACGAAAGCGUGGGGAGCAAACAGGAUUAGAUACCCUGGUAGUCCACGCCCUAAACGAUGUCUACUAGUUGUUGGUGGAGUAAAAUCCAUGAGUAACGCAGCUAACGCGUGAAGUAG